rnacentral:tRNA from 1 species
AAAGAGGCAAGACAGCAGUAAGGACUGCUAAUCCUUUACCCCCGGAGUUUAAAUCCC